GACGAACGCUGGCGGCGUGCUUAACACAUGCCAGUCGAACGGAAAGGCCCUGCUUUUGUGGGGUGCUCGAGUGGCGAACGGGUGGGUAACACGUGAGUAACCUGCCCUUGACUUUGGGAUAACUUCAGGAAACUGGGGCUAAUACCGGAUAUGAGCUCCUGCUGCAUGGUGGGGGUUGGAAAGUUUCGGCGGUUGGGGAUGGACUCGCGGCUUAUCAGCUUGUUGGUGGGGUAGUGGCUUACCAAGGCGUUUACGGGUAGCCGGCCUGAGAGGGUGACCGGCCACAUUGGGACUGAGAUACGGCCCAGAAUCCUACGGGAGGCAGCAGUGGGGAAUAUUGCACAAUGGGCGGAAGCCUGAUGCAGCAACGCCGCGUGCGGGAUGACGGCCUUCGGGUUGUAAACCGCUUUCGCCUGUGACGAAGCGUGAGUGACGGUAAUGGGUAAAGAAGCACCGGCUAACUACGUG
rnacentral:rRNA from 1 species